CCUACGGGGGGCUGCAGUGGGGAAUAUUGGACAAUGGGGGCAACCCUGAUCCAGCCAUGCCGCGUGUGUGAAGAAGGCCCUCGGGUUGUAAAGCACUUUCAGUGAGGAAGAACGCCUGGUGGUUAAUACCCAUCAGGAAAGACAUCACUCACAGAAGAAGCACCGGCUAACUCCGUGCCAGCAGCCGCGGUAAUACGGAGGGUGCGAGCGUUAAUCGGAAUUACUGGGCGUAAAGCGCGCGUAGGUGGCUUGAUAAGCCGGUUGUGAAAGCCCCGGGCUCAACCUGGGAACGGCAUCCGGAACUGUCAAGCUAGAGUGCAGGAGAGGAAGGUAGAAUUCCCGGUGUAGCGGUGAAAUGCGUAGAGAUCGGGAGGAAUACCAGUGGCGAAGGCGGCCUUCUGGACUGACACUGACACUGAGGUGCGAAAGCGUGGGUAGCAGACAGGAUUAGAUACCCGGGUAGUC
rnacentral:rRNA from 1 species